UACGUAGGUGGCGAGCGUUGUCCGGAUUUACUGGGCGUAAAGAGCGCGCAGGCGGUCGUUCAAGUCGCGUGUGAAAGCCCCCGGCUCAACUGGGGAGGGUCACGCGAUACUGAUCGACUCGAAGGCAGGAGAGGGAAGUGGAAUUCCCGGUGUAGUGGUGAAAUGCGUGAGAUAUCGGGAGAACACCAGUGGCGAAGGCGACUUCCUGGCCUGUUCUUGACGCUGAGGCGCGAAAGCUAGUGGAGCAAACGGG
rnacentral:rRNA from 1 species